AAGCACUUAGAAAAGUAGGAGUCGAACCUACACAAAAGAGAUCAAAACUCUUCAUACUUC
rnacentral:tRNA from 1 species